UACGUAGGGUGCAGGCGUUAAUCGGAAUUACUGGGCGUAAAGCGUGCGCAGGCGGUCUUUUAAGUCAGAUGUGAAAUCCCCGGGCUUAACCUGGGAACUGCGUUUGAAACUGGAAGGCUAGAGUGUGGCAGAGGGGGGUGGAAUUCCACGUGUAGCAGUGAAAUGCGUAGAGAUGUGGAGGAACACCGAUGGCGAAGGUAGCCCCCUGGGCUAACACUGACGCUCAUGCACGAAAGCGUGGGGAGCAAACAGG
rnacentral:rRNA from 1 species